rnacentral:lncRNA from 10 species
CAGCAUUCUUGCAAAAACAAAACAAAACACUGAGUUGUAUCAAAACAAUUAUUAGAAAAUACUAAUAGUGGAAGAUACUAGUAAACAACUCACCCAGAUUACUCAAAUAUGUCAAUAAUCUAAAACAUAAACACAGACAGGAAAAUGCUCUGAUUAAGGAGACUAAAGAAGCGUAAAACCUCAGUACCAUAUAUGAUUUUUAAUUGGUCUCUAGAUUUGAAAAAAAG